rnacentral:rRNA from 1 species
CCUACGGGAGGCAGCAGUAGGGAAUAUUGCUCAAUGGGGGAAACCCUGAAGCAGCAACGCCGCGUGGAGGAUGAAGGUUUUCGGAUUGUAAACCCCUUUUGUUAGAGACGAUAAUGACGGUAUCUAACGAAUAAGCACCGGCUAACUCCGUGCCAGCAGCCGCGGUAAUACGGAGGGUGCAAGCGUUACUCGGAAUCACUGGGCGUAAAGCGCGCGUAGGCGGGAUAGCAAGUCAGAUGUGAAAUCCUAUGGCUUAACCAUAGAACUGCAUUUGAAACUGUUAUUCUAGAGUAUGGGAGAGGUAGGUGGAAUGCUUGGUGUAGGGGUAAAAUCCGUAGAGAUCAAGAGGAAUACUCAUUGCGAAGGCGACCUGCUAGAACAUAACUGACGCUGAUGCGCGAAAGCGUGGGGAGCAAACAGGAUUAGAUACCCUAGUAGUC